AUUGGGCGUAAAGCGCGCGCAGGUGGUUCCUUAAGUCUGAUGUGAAAGCCCACGGCUCAACCGUGGAGGGUCAUUGGAAACUGGGGAACUUGAGUGCAGAAGAGGAAAGUGGAAUUCCACGUGUAGCGGUGAAAUGCGUAGAGAUGUGGAGGAACACCAGUGGCGAAGGCGACUUUCUGGUCUGUAACUGACACUGAGGCGCGAAAGCGUGGGGAGCGAACAGGAUUAGAUACCCUGGUAGUCCACGCCGUAAACGAUGAGUGCUAAGUGUUAGAGGGUUUCCGCCCUUUAGUGCUGCAGCAAACGCAUUAAGCACUCCGCCUGGGGAGUACGGCCGCAAGGCUGAAACUCAAAGGAAUUGACGGGGGCCCGCACAAGCGGUGGAGCAUGUGGUUUAAUUCGAAGCAACGCGAAGAACCUUACCAGGCCUUGACAUCCUCUGACACUCCUAGAGAUAGGACGUUCCCCUUCGGGGGACAGAGUGACAGGUGGUGCAUGGUUGUCGUCAGCUCGUGUCGUGAGAUGUUGGGUUAAGUCCCGCAACGAGCGCAACCCUUGAUCUUAGUUGCCAGCAUUCAGUUGGGCACUCUAAGGUGACUGCCGGUGACAAACCGGAGGAAGGUGGGGAUGACGUCAAAUCAUCAUGCCCCUUAUGACCUGGGCUACACACGUGCUACAAUGGAUAGAACAAAGGGCAGCAAAACCGCGAGGUCAAGCAAAUCCCAUAAAUCUAUUCUCAGUUCGGAUUGCAGGCUGCAACUCGCCUGCAUGAAGCCGGAAUCGCUAGUAAU
rnacentral:rRNA from 1 species